ensembl:lncRNA
UUUCGUAUGAGUUCGUACGAUUUUCACAUCGUAGAAACAUACGCGAUUUUUAGUAAGCACGAAGGCCCCGCCCCUAAAUAACCAUCACUGGCGCGUGAGUAGAAUUUAAAACAUAAAAUAGUAAUGAACUGACAUGAGAUUGUGUUGAUUUACCAAUGCACGUAAUUAUUUAGGUAAAGAAAUGCAUCCGAGACACUGAUCUAGCUAUAAUAUUUAUAUAGAUCAGAGAUCCAAAACAACUUUCUUUACAGCUGACGUCAUCAGUGCCUCUUGUUUUUCAGCCACUUUCAUAUCGAGACGCCAUCCAACCAAUCGAAAUGGAUAAAACUAAGUUACUCCAGUUUUAAGUUUACUGGUAACACACAAACACACACCUGUUGGAAAUGAUCUUGUCUCAUCCCUCAGGUUGUAAAAAACACACAUGCAUUUAUGAAGCUGAAAUAUGAAGCCUGUAUUUUGUUAAAAUGUAUUCGAGCUUGGACAGCUUGUCUAGUUAAAUGAACGUCUGGUUAUGUGUGACUGUCUGAGGGUUUUUCUCUAUGCUAACAGUCUCUUACUGGCAGGUCACCAUUCUCCCCCAGCGUGGUCCUGACAGGAAUCAAGGCUGCGUCCUAAACCCUUGUUUGAGGUUCCCUGUACACCUGUAAUUGUUUAUUCGGAGACGCGAGGCCCGGCGCAGGUAAGCUAUAAACCCGAGCGGCGCGCGCUCAUUAGUGGCCGCGCUUUUUCCUCGUCAACAUUCACCCAGCCUGAGAAAAUUAAUUCUAUUAAAGGGCUCAAUUCCCUCCGCCAGACCUCACUGUUUAAACAUCUUUUUAGUGUAUGAUUAGAGCAUAUUUCCCAAACCUGGCCGGGAGUGGCGGCUGGGUCGGGGAGGUCGAGCGAAUGAAAGAGGACGACUUCAUUGUGCGGUGACUGGACCAUAAAUCAUCGGCCGUUUUCUAUAAAUCACGGCAGAUGGCAGGGAGCGAGCGCGGGCUCGUGGGAGUCCGCCGGCCCCGGUGCACGCAGGGAAGCGCGGACUGCGGCAGACGCCGGCAGCCGUGCGGGUCACCGAGAGCGCGCGCGCGCGGAAGGAACGGGCUGCGCCGAGGGGGCUCGGGGUGAUGAGAUGCAGACCUGGAGGUCCGAG